AUGGACAUUCAACAUGCUGAAUUUUUGGCCUCGACAGUUUCUGCGGAUGGAUAUGCUGAGAAGAUAGACUUGAAACCGAGGACGGUUUCGUUUCAAGGGGGAGAGAAUGAUGUGGACAACACUAGUUCUAUUCGUACCGUCGACAACCAUGACAUGCAAGACGUUGGUCUGCUUCAAAUUAAGGCAGUUUCGCUCGUCACUGUUUGCGAUAACGUGAGGCGUCUUGAUAAGGAGAAAAUGAAGGUUGAAUUAGAAUCAAUGCUGCUGUGCCAAAAUACACAAUGCAUGCUUGGAUAUUAG
rnacentral:rRNA from 1 species